AUCCUUUUCUGGUUCAUAAGCGUGAUGAUUGGGUUCUCAAGCACUUGUGUGAUUUGUGCCUCCCUCUGAAUCUUAUUAUGAUGCGGGCACAUUACCCAUCUGACG
rnacentral:snoRNA from 1 species